AUGAAACUACAUUUAAAUCCACUAAAUCCAGAAUUGUGUGUUUCUUUCAUCAACAUGUUGAACAAGUUCGUUGGUGUUUCUCUUGCAGAGAGUGUCUCACCGUACAUCUGUCACAAGCAGAACAAGAGUAACAGUAUCAGCUACAAAGACGACGUCAUAGAAAAAGGUGAAACGGACUCGUUCCGAAGGGAAAGUGUUCUGUUUGCAUCUGAGGACGAGGAAAAGUCCAACUAUUCUGCUCCCAAAGAGAAAAGAUUCAAACAAGAUUAUCGCGUGAAUUCAAAUCCGAACCAAAAGAGUAUUUAUACGAAAACGACGGAGGACAAAGACAAAGGGGUGAAGAUCGUGACGUCGGUGUCCGUCAGCGACCUAGAAGAUUCCUCCCCGAACAUCACGUUUCAGCAGCUACAUGAAGCCUUGUCCGAAAACCCGAGCCACUGCUCAACAACGCCGGUGACCAACAUCGUGAAAAUCAACUGCAGUGGGUCCCAGGUGAAACUCGAAAUUCAAGAAAUUCUGCAGCUCAACGCUUCUGACGUCAAGACCACGUUUGUUUUCACGAAUGAAAAAGGGGGCGGUGCUGAGACGGCCGUUGAGAGCAAAGGUGGGGGGGCGUGGACUCCAGAUAACGAGUCAUAUGAGCAGCUGCAACAAAAUGUGACCAAUCACAGCGCAGAUAAAAAUUACAGAUUUACUUUUGGCAGCACGAGCGACCAAAUAAGUGAUUCAAACUCUAAAAUAUGGGACGAUCCGAACUACUGUCGCUGCUGCGCUGGUCACAGACAACAAGUACCCACCGACUGUACUUGGGCCAACCGUCCAUCGAGCCCCCCGUUGCUGUUGAACCUCCGACCUCAGGAGGAGAGGAAGCAUCUUCACAAGAGGUUCAGCAUCGAUCAGUUCUGGGACAUUCCUCCGCCCCAGGAGUUUGCAGAUGGUAAAUACAACACUCUAGAGGACCUGUCGCUCGACCUGGCUUCCUGCAGGAUUGGAACAUGUAGUCCCUUUGAUGAAGAAUCCGGAUUCCCUUAUUCCGCCAAAGAUCUGGCGCCUUCUUUUGAUCAAUUAUCGGAAUCGGACAACUACGAGCCCAUGUUCAUGAGACCCUCACUGUCUACCAACAGGUCCAGCUUCACCAAAGAAUUCAUCAGCUCUCAGAAGAGAAAGUCCUGGAUUAGGAACAACAGUAUCGCCACAGUCGAACACAGAGCGUGUCCCUCGGCACAGAAGAGGCGGCAGACGUUUCCUGGGAUGUCAGAAGAUCUGGGAUUGAUGCAAGAGGAUCUGCUGCUGCCCUAUGGCGAGUCUUUUUCCUCUUUGACGAUGUGCUCAUGUCCUCUCCAAGCAGAGAGGCUGGGGAGGUGUCACCAUGGUGAUGACAAGUUCCCUGCAUUGGACACGCCUGACUCCGAAAUCCCAAGUGACCAGCCAUCAUUGCUCAGCUCGUCCCGUAAGACCAGCACUGAAGAUCAUCCUGACGACACGUUCGCUGUCUGCACACAGCGUCCUGGAGGAAGCAGCGUCAGUUACCGUCGCAAAGGCCUCAGACACCUGGACAAAGACUUCAAACAGAGCAUCUGUAAAGACGUGGAUAGUCCGGACACCGAUGACUGUGAUUGUAAAGUUGAUCUAAGUGAAGUAGCAGACAGUGGGUUUGACCAAGACAUGGGGGAAGUAGAAUAUCUCAGCCCAGAGCCCCCGACGGAGGAGCUCAGUCAAAGAGCCCUCGCCAUACAAGUCAUCCCUCCGUCCUGCAGCGGCUCGGAGGAGGAAAUGCUCCCGAGCAACCUCGUCAUGCCGAUCCAAGAGGAUCCAAUCUCAUCUCUACCUAAACGCAAAUCCUCCGUCAUGACUCUAACUGUUGGUGGACUGGAACAAAGAUUCCUGCAGGUAGACCGCAGAUCAUCUCAGGGUAGUCGUGUGGAAAAACCUCUUACAAGUACUUUGGACGACUCCUGCGUGUCCGCUUUCCAGCACAUUGACGUACAAUCACUGAACUCCAACGAGGUGACCGAGAGUGAAUCUAAACCACCUGGUGAAGAAACAGGAAACUCGUCUCUGCCACUGACGACAGAGCAGACGAAUGAUCUGCAACCUCCAGUCGCUGCUUCCUGUCCAGAAAUCUGCGUCAAGGAGCAGCACCUUGAAUCCAACAAGGCCCACAAACAGAUCGUGUCCAGGUGUAAGUUACGUUACUGUUUGUCUUUCUGCUCUCAAAUAUAUAUCACCUUAUUUCAGGUGGCUGUUUACUCAAGAGUUCUUCACCUCCUCCAGGUUCCUUUGAGGCCAAAGAGCAUCUGA
ensembl:lncRNA